AUCUCUGGCCCCCCUUGCGGGCCCGAGCCCGUGAGCGGCCUGGGCCUCUUUUGGGUUUGGGCCCAGGCCGCGACUGAGCCACUGGGCCCCGGGUCAGCCCACGUCAGGGCGAGUCCCUGACUCGGCCCCAGGUCGACUCGCAGAGGGGUAAUCCCCUGGCUCGGCUCCGAGACUUCAAGCUCAACCAGGUCGUCCCCAAGCUCGCCGGCCGGGUCGACCUGAAGAGAGCCGAGAGGAGGAGCCAAGUGUAGCCCUUCCCCCCCCGCUGCCGGCGGCGACCGACGGCAUGCGACCUUUGCUGGCUUUUGCCAGCCGUCCAUGUCCGCCGGGGACACUGGUGUGGUCGGUGUGGUCAGCUGAGCUGCCGGGGGUGGCGGUCGACUCGAGGACGACCCAGACCCAAGUCAGGUCCGGUCGUCUCCCUCGGCCGCAGCGGCCGAUCCUCCCAUGGGAUUUUCUGUUGCGUCGCCACCAUCCAGGGGCCGUAGGCUGGCCCUUGGAUCUCCUCCCCGCCGCCCGAGGUCGGUAGAUAGGGCCUUACCCCCCGUCUCCAUUACCACCGGGGGCGCAUCCUCGUCUGUGCGGGAUGCUGUCAGAAACGGCAAGCCGUUUCCACGUGCCCCAUCCGCCCAUAGCAGGGGUAGAGAAUCGGGAUGUUCUCGAAGAUGAAGGGCUGCCACCGCACCUUUGUCUUCCCCUAUAUCAGGAUUUUCGGCCGUAGCUGUCAUGACCCCCCGUCCCCGUUCCCGGCAGGCCGCCGCGACGGUCCUAGAGUGCGGGUAGGCAUAAGGCCACCAACCACCGCGUAGA
rnacentral:lncRNA from 1 species